UGGUGAUGUAGCAUGCCCGUAUGGUGUUUAACUCUGAUGAUUAAUUGUUAUUUUAUUACUUUUGGGUAACGGGGUGUUACACUCGC
rfam:Medicago truncatula strain A17 chromosome 6, whole genome shotgun sequence.